rnacentral:lncRNA from 1 species
CCCAAACAACUAACUAAGCCUACAAUAUACAAAGUAUACAAUGAAUAUACGAUAAAUAUACAACCCAAUAUCAAUGUCUACAUUUAUGUUUAGGCUUAGAAGCUAGAUAAUCUUGUAGCUCAACACCCCCCCUCAAGUUGGAGGGGGAGACCACCUUCAACUUGACCAAUAGAGGAUGUAGGAUAGUCCCAGGUAGAGGCUUGGUGAGGAGGUCAGCUAGCUGUCGAGAGGUAGGGACAUGGGAGAGUGUAAUGAGCCCACUAGUCAGCUGAUCCCU